rnacentral:rRNA from 1 species
AUUGAACGCUGGCGGCAGGCCUAACACAUGCAAGUCGAGCGAGCGGCGGACGGGUGAGUAAUGCCUAGGAAUCUGCCUGGUAGUGGGGGAUAACGUCCGGAAACGGGCGCUAAUACCGCAUACCAUCGGAUGUGCCCAGAUGGGAUUAGCUAGUAGGUGGGGUAACGGCUCACCUAGGCGACGAGCCCUAGCUGGUCUGAGAGGAGGACCAGCCACACAGGAACGUAGACACGGUCCAGACUCCUACGGGAGGCAGCAGUGGGGAAUAUUGCACAAUGGGUGAAAGCCUGAUGCAGCCAUGCCGCGUGGAUGAAGAAGGCCUUCGGGUUGUAAAGUACUUUCAGCGGGGAGGCGUUAACCGCAGAAGAAGCACCGGCUAACUCCGUGCCAGCAGCGGCGGUAAUAC